UUCCAGUAUGUGUUUGUUAACUGAAUUAUCAAGCCCUGGCAUUCCACGGCUGUAGCUGUGAAGAAACUGUAGCAGGGACUUUUCCCAGAACCUGGACCAUCCUAGAAUUCAGGCCUCAGCUCCCCAGGCUGACUGAUAGGCCAGUGGUGGGGUAGCUUAGCUGUCAGCUCCAGCAAAGGCAGACCCACCAUCCCCGUCUCCCCAUCCCCAGGCAGGAGCUGGCAGGAGAUCAGACGCUACUUCAAUUCCAAGUAGCUCGUGAACAAAGGCUGUAAAGUUGCUAAGAAACCUGCUUUCUGAGAGUUCACUGUGUGUUCCUUUGUUUCUAUGGUGUUGUGUGUGUGAGUGAGCGCACCAUGGGCCGUUAUGCUGCCAGCCCUGCAUCAGGUUAGAACUGCAGGCUGCUCUGGGCACCGUCAUGGACCCCAGCCACUGCCCAGCCAGGCAGCCCAGGCGUUGAGGGCGAACAAAAGAGGAGGCAGCUGCCCGAGGCCAGAGGUUGGCAGAGCUGUGAGCAGCUGCGAGAAGGAAGCUUUGGAUACUGAAUCCUGGACCCACUUCAGCAAAAGCCCAGAAACUCUAAGGGCUCAAACCUGCGCGUGGCCAGUGAACCGAUUCCCCGAGCCACGGUCCACAGCGCCCCCUGGUGGGACUUGAGAGACAGCACCAGCAGGCUGCUUCUGCUCAUGGUCACCAGCAGCUCACACCAAGACUCAACCAGAGGACCAUGGGUGGAGCUGGAAGCAUCAUCCCUUCUCGUUUUACUGCAGAAUACUGAGGUCUAGGGGGCGGGACUUACACAAGCUGUCACUGAGUCUGUUGCAGAGCCAGGCCAGCCCGUGCUCUUUCCACCACAAGGUAUUACACACAAAAUCUAAUACUCAAAAGCAUCAAAAUGGUUCGGUUAGAACCUCCAGUACAGUGUCAAACAGAGAUGAUGAGGUUGGAAUCCCCGUCUUGUUCCUGAUCUCGGGGCUCAUUCAUCGAGUGCCAGCUGAGAAGCAGAUGCUGGAAGAAUCUGGACAUCAAUCACCAUCAGACCAGGACUUUGGGGAUGCCAGUGUGGUGGGGCGGCCACCUCAGCACAGAAGGAUCCAGAAGACAGUGUCCACCUGUCAGCACCAGCUCACCACCAUCAUCAAAGCUGAACUCCUCAGGAUUCAGGCCUGAUCCUUCAACCCGCUCUGAGACACCUCACUGCCCAGCAUCUGAUCCUCAUGCCUCCCGUCUGUCCACAAGGCCACGGUGGACGACUCCAGAAUCAUGCUGCCCUCUGUCUACAGCCCUCCCCUGGUAGCUGUCAGAAACUCUUUCCUAAGCGGAAAUGAAUUCAGGGAGGCAGUGUGGAAUUGUGAAAGAGCCUAGACUUUCGAGCCAGACAGAUGGUGACUUUGACACGCAUGCCCCAAGGGAACAAGUAAGAUGUUCAGUAUCUCUGAACCUGUUUCUUCUACUAUAAAAAGGGGAUACUUUCAACCUGGCAUGGUUUUGUGAGGAUUAGAGAUAGUGCUUACAACCUUCCUGGCUCACAGCAGCAGAGCAGUGAAUGGUAACUAUUCUAUGCUGAUAUGACGACAGUCCCCCCACAAUUUGGCUCUUAACAGUAGACAGCCUGGCUUGCUUUCCAAUAAAACUCGAAGUAAUCUGGGGGAAGCAAGCAUGUCACUAGAUACUUAUGUGCUCUCUGACUUAGGGCAAGUCCCUUCCCCUCUCUGAGUCUCAGCUUCCUUUUCUGUAAAAGGAAGGGACAGGACCAAGUGUACUUUUAAGGUCUCUUUGAGCACUCCUGAACUUCUGAUCCCCCGUGGUCCCUGGCAUUGUGCUGGGUGCACCUCAAGCAGACAAGGGAACCCUUGUGGAUGAGUCCCUGCAGAAGGCUGGGGUCAGUGGCUGCGGGCUCAUUCCAGGCCGCCUACCUCGCUCUGGGAA